GGUGAUACAGUUCAGUUGGUAGAGUACCUGCCUUGAAUGCAUAAGGUCCUGGGUUCAAUCCCCAGCACCA
rnacentral:tRNA from 1 species